GGUUCCGUGGUCCAGUGGUCAAGACUCAUCGUUGUGGUACACGAGGCAUGCCCCUCCCCUAAACAAGGGGAGACACAAUCGUAACUUCGCUACAUCCGAUGCAACCCGUGUUCGAUUCACGGCGGAGCCA